CCCAGCUUGAGUGAAGAAUAAAACCGCAUGGCUAUUCUUUCCAGGGAAAAUGGAUUAGGUUUGGAUGAAAGUUGAAGUUUUGAAAUGAGUCUGAAGGUUGUUGGAGUACCCUGAGAAUACAAUCAACUGCUCUACAUAAUCAUUUCCCUUAAUAGUUACCUGUCAGAGCACCUAUUUCUUCUACUACAGGAUUAGCCCAUCAGAAGUAGAUCUGAGUUGGAUAUUUCACUGACUAAAGACUGCUCUAAUAUGUUUCAGUGUUUAAUGUCACUUUCUUUACUGCCUAUGAGAUAAACUAGUGGAAAAGUAUUGGCUCAAAAAGCCAGCAGGUCUGCUGGUGUUACCAGUCAUGUUGCAAUUGUAUUUACCUAUCAGAACGUUGAUCUAAAUAAUAAACCUAACAUUUCCUUCUAAACUGUCAGUGGAAAGAUAUAUUUAUUACAAUGUCCUCCAUCGUUGAGGAGAGAGGAGGUUUAGCUAAAGUUUAAAUGAAAAAAAAAAAAAAGCACAAGCAUAGGACACCACUGAUAUAAGCAAUAGAACAGUAAACAAUUAUGCCCUUUGUUAUGCUAUAUAUAUUUUAUUUACCCAUUUCAAAGGUGGAAAAUAAACCUAGCCCAUCUUUGGGGGGAGUUAAUAAAGUAUUCUGAAUGCAUGAUCUAACAAAACUCGGGGAUCGUUCUAUGUUUUAUUGUUACCCCCCUGCAUAAAGUCUUCUGAAGCUGAAAAGAGAAAGGAAAGGGCUUUUGUGUUAGUUGAUCCUUGGCUAUUCUAGGGCUCAGGUUGGUGUGAAAGGGAUGAGGAGGUCACUUGAAAUCUCCUUUUAUCUACUCUUAUUUUCUCUCUGGAUCAGCAACUUUGAAUAGACAUCAUCUAAUCGCUCUUAAUGGAAAGAAACUAUGGGAGCAACAAAAAUGCCUUUACUCCAGAAGUGAAUACAUGCAUGCGGACAGCUAGCUGAGCUUUCAUAGAACUGAAUCUCUGCACACAUGUACUUAAAGAUUUUUCAGUUCAUGGAUAUAUAUGUCAAUAUUUCCCAUACAUGGGGGGCGAUGAUUAGGUAGGUUAUUUUACCCUCAUGCAUAAGUAUGCACACACGUCUACCUUAGAAUUCUCUAACAAGCAGUCUAGGUGAUACUUUCAGCUGACUCUUCAUUUAGCUUUUUCAUGCCCUCACUCUCUGGGCAUAUUUAAGUACUGAAAAAAAAAAGCAAACAAUUAAGAACACAAUGGACAGCUUUUUCCAGAAGUCAUCUUAUUUCCUUUCUGUUUUCAACUGGAAGUCACAGUGACAGGAGGAUUUCUCUUCAGGGGGAGGAGAUUGUGUGACAGGUGGGAGGUAAUGGGGCAAGACAAGACCUUUACUUUCAAUUUCUCCCCACAAUUUUUUCUUUUUGCUUGGAGUUAAAUUGGUUAAAAUACAAUAAAUAGUGGAAAAUAAGAGCCUGACAUUAGGCAGUUUAAAAGUUUUACAUGCUAUAGACACGUCUCCAAAUUCUUGAAGCUGAGCAAUUUAUCAUAAUUUAUUUGAAAUAGGAAUUAUCUUAGGAAGUCUCACAUGCUGGUUAAAAUGUCCAAGUUGUCUUCCAGGCAUUGUUAUAGUAUUUACUUCAAAAAGAAAAACAUCUCCCAGGACAUUUAAUAUGAAUGAUAAUCCAGAAAAGGACAUUGGAUUUCUAGGACUGAAAGCACUGGGCUUUACCUCCUAAGAGGAGGAUGCUCCCCCCACCCCAUGUUCUUCUAAGUAAAAUUCUCAUUGCUCCCAGAGCUUGGGACACUUUAAUGUAAAAUUCCAUCAAGGGAAUACUUGGUUACUAGGGAUACAAGUUCCCAUCUCAACCUGCCAACCUCUCUUCCUCUGGCUCCAGAUCGCAGAGACCCUGGGCUGUCAGGGCUGGGACUUGGGGGACACCCCCCCAGGCUGCAGGCGAUUGCAGUUCUAAAGUUUGAAGUUGGGUGGGGGAGGAUUAAUCCCUCUUUAACUCCUCUCCUUCCCACCCUCAAUUCUGAACCCCAACGGAUAUGUUUCCCCGGGUUUCCUAGUGAAUAGGAGCAUAGGAGCCGCCCUGUCCAAUAAAGAUUAAAUUAAGUAGAAGAAUCCCAGCCGCUGGAUAUUUGGAAGCUCCGGUGGGGCGUCAAACCGACGUUUAACACAUUUUUUCCACUCACUGUGCACAAAUCCUGGACCUGUUGGGCUUAACUUUUAGAAAGAAAGGAAGAAAAAAAAUAUAAGAAAGGAAGGGGAAAAAAAUCAAACAAAGUCACAGAGAAACCCCACUUUUAAGGGGAAAGUGGCUUUAAACUCAGAGUGGCUAAGGCAGAGGCUGGGCUUCCUGACCUUUCUUUUCUUUUCUUUCCACGAAUCACUCCCAGAGUUGAAACCUGUCCCCCACUCCCCCAGGGCUCAGAACUUUUCUGUUUUGGCGGUCUGACUCUAUGUUUAUUCCUUAGGGAUGAUGUGGUGGCCCAGGGUCAUGACUGGAUGUGUGAACAAGGGGUGAGUUGAGAACCCAGUCGCUUUCUCUGUGGUGACAAUUUCUAAUUUUUUAAAUAAAGGUUUUGGUAGCAUGAACUGAGCAGUUUUCUCCGGUUACUGUCUAGCAGGAGAAACAAUGGUUUUCUCUGCAGGCUUUCAGCCGCUGGACAACUAACCUUGAAGCUGAGGCCCAGUCGGGUGCCUCCUCCCCCGGGGGCCAUCCCAGCCCCCAGAUAUCGGCUGCUCACUCCCACUUGCUCUUCUAGUCCCUGGGCGCAGUCUAGAGGGGCAAAAGGCAAGUCCCUUCGUGGCAAAGGCUUGUCCAUGCAAACACAACAUUGAAUAAAUUAAACUCAAACCAGCUAGUUGGGGUGUAGUAGUUUAGCAGGACUAAUUGCAGACAAUGGAGCUGAAAUGACUUUUCCAAUUAGCUGCUGGUUGGAGUUUAGUUGGAGGAACUGUCAGCUCCAACGAUGGGUAAUUGCUUUAUUGCUCACAAAACUAUCAUCUAUUUAGAACAUAUGUGCUAAUUACUCUGGAUGGGUGUCGAAAAAGAGACCAUAAAUCUAAUAGCACUUAAAAAGGUCUGUGGUGCUUGUAAGCCGCCCCAGCCCCUUGCACAUUCUCUCCUGCCCAGGUUGGCGUGAUAGAUGGCUGUCUUUCAGGAAGAGGAAGGUUUGGACAGGAGGCGAGGACGGGAUGCUCUGGUCAAAUCGCUUGGAGAGACAGCGUCCCGUGCGUGCUGUGCUGAGGCGAUAAAUCACUGUCAUCAAAACCAGUCCCCUCUUUAGUCGCGCACUUUUCAUUUUCGCAAAAGAUUACUUUAGAAAUCUUUUAAUUGGAUUAUGCUGGGAAAUUAAUCUCCUUUAGCCUUGGUUAAAUUUAUUGUGGCCACUGACUGAAGGAAAGCCCUGUCACUGCAGUGAGGGCCAUGUCCCCUUGUUCGUUUUUCCUCCGUCUUCCAGGAUCUCCCAGUUGCGUGUGAUAGUCGUGCCCCAAGUCCUCGGGAGUGACUGGAGUGAGAAAGGGUGGAAAGGCGCAUCUGGGCAAAGGCCGCGGAAGUCCCCAGUGAAUCCCCUUUGUCCUAAACGCUACGUUUCCGUCCCGAAUUCCCUAAUUCCAUAUCCUGCAUCCCCACAGCACCUCGCCUUUACCAACAAGGGGUUCUGGAGGCCCGCUGCCGGGAAGGAGUCUGGAGUGGCAGGAAAAGAAAGUGGGGUGUGUCGGGGGAGCACUGCCAGCCAAACUCACUAGUUUGCCCUCUCCCCCGCACUCCCUUUCUGGGCCUUCGGCAGGGAGCUGCGGUCUUGCGAAGACUACUUCUCUGCGCAAAAACGCACAGCUCGUUCUUGGUGUUCUUCCUGGCACAACUCCGGAGUCACUUCCCCUUGACGUGCAUGGCGCUUGAGGCCGCGGGUCUAGGGCGCUUCUCACUCCUCCUGGCUCCUCUGGCACCUGCGCAUUGUCGGGCGGAGACCUCCCUUCCAGCCUCGCCGCCCUGCGCGGUCAGCCUAGUCCAGCGCGACUCCGGCAGUCGCGGGAAGCGGAGGAUCCGGCCCCGCCGGCCGCGCCUCUCAGCGGGAGAUAACAACAUCUGCCUGAAACGGGAUACCUACUUUUGCAGCUCAUUUGAGCUCUUAAUAGCAGCCCUCUGAGGUGUGGUUAAUUGAUGGGGAUAAAGGCGUAAUGACUUGACAGGGAGACGCCAAUGAUCCUUUAAUAUACUUUUAAAAGAACAACAACCACCCCCAAACACCGGCCUGUCUUUGCUCGGUGGGGGGAAAAGGCAGGGAUCUGGAGUCUGGAAUAACGGCGCUGGUGGUGUUUGUACCUGGAAGCGUCAGUGUGGGGUGAGCCCUGGCUCGCAGGGCUGGGGCACCAGAAAGAGGCCAAGGCGCCCAGCUCGGGCUGACAGCGCGUUGUUGCGUGGCUGCGGGGAGCGAGGAGGGACGGGGAGCCAGCCGAGAGAGCACCGGCUGACAGGUGACCCGGCCGAUAGGCGAAGAGGAGCACGGAGCCGGGGGCAUGUCGCUUCUCCCUGGGCUCUGCCCCUCUAUGAGCCCUUCCCCUACGUGGGGCUGGAUACCCACAAGCCGGGCGCCUCUGUCUGCCCGCCCUCCUUGACUAGAGAGACCCCGUAUCUAGUUUGAGCGACAUCAUCAAGUGGCCGGCGGGAACAGGGGGGUUCCGCUGCUUGGACAACCUCAGGCCCCAGCGCCAGGACAGAGGCACGCGCCCGUGUGAGUGUGUGUACGUGCGCGUGCGCGCAAACCGCUCCGAAACGCACAGCUGGAGCACAGCAGCCCCGAGCACGUGGCUGUAUUUAGACCAAGUCUGUCCAGAACCCCAGUGCCAGGCGUAUUGGGAUUUACCUGCGCGGCAGCUGGGUCCCGCCGCCCGGUCAGAGGAACCCCUGCGCACUAUCCCACCCCAGACCUCCGCUUACCGUUUUCUCCUCAGUACCUUCCCUUUCUUUUGCCCGAUUUCCCUUUGCUCAGUCAGUUCUAGCUGAGUCUCUAGAGGGUCAAAUAAGUGUUUUUACUCGUCGCAGGUACCGAACUUAGGUUCACACAAAUCCUAAAAUGAAAAAAAAAAUCAUAUUGCCUUUUCCGUUUGCAAAGGGGAACCCCCUCCAGAUGUGAGCUGUGGUGUCCCUAGCAGGUUUUGCAAGUCUCUUGUUUUACCUUUGGAAAAAGAUAACCUUGAUGCUUCAGGUUUGAGCUCCCUCUGGAAGCAAAAAGAGAAACGACUCCAAUCACCGUCUAUAUCUUAUUGCAUUGAGAGAUAGCAGGUGUUUAGGCUGCAGCUAUUGUCUGCCUUCCUCCCUGAGCUCACAUAACAAGGAUGAAAGAGUCUAAGGAACUUAGUUUCCCCAAACGCUCUUGCAUAGGAGGGCGGGGAAACUUCGGAAUCAAGGACUUAAAGAAAUGCAAUUGAGUCCCAACUCGCAAAGUGUGUCAGUCUCCAUGUGGUUCCGUCCUUCCGCCGUCACUGUCUAGUCUCAUCUAGUGUCGUUCUUCUGCUUUCUGUAGAUCUCUAGGAACUCAGGAUUCCCUGCCGCUUAGCCGUCGAGCUCCCGACCCCUCCGCAUCCCUAGCCGGGAAGGACUGAGAGCUGAGCUCCAAGGUCGUGGUCUGGUCCUCAGGGAUGAGGUCCCGGGUCCAGACUCUUUCCUUGGUCAGCAACUCCUGCUUAGAAGCUCCCCGCCCCGAAUGGAAUCGUGACCUGGCGCUAGGUCCCCCGCUGGGAGUGCCCGAGGCUUUCCUGAAGGCCCCAGGCCUUCAGGCCGCCAGGGUCCUAAGGUGCCUGUGGCGGCCCCUCGUCCGCCUGAGCCCUGAGAUCAGCGCGGCCCUCGGUGCUGCAGGGCCCCAGGGCGGCCAGGAAACACCUGCCCGAAGUCCAGGCCCGGCCCCACUGCAGUCCAGGACCCUAAUUCUCGAGUGUCUCUUCACGACCCUGACCCCGGAAGGGCGCUCCCUUGCGAACGAAUUUUUAAUUCUGCGGACUGGGAUCCCUUGUAGGGGCCCCUCCGAGGGCCCCUCCCACCCCUUUCCCUGGACUAGCGAACUCCGACCCUAAGCGCGGCCCCGCAGGGAGCGGAUCCCGGAAGCUAGGCCCAUAUCCGGCCGCGGAGCCUUGCGCGCGGGGUUGGCUGCCGGGAGGUCGACGCUAGUGCGGUCCCCCGCGCGGCGGAGGGGCCCGGGCCGCGGUAUCUGCGCACUGAGACGUCGGCGGAAGGCUAGAGGCCGUGCUCUCGCCCCCGCAGAAGGCCACCACUCCUUGAGAAGGCCGGAGGGACAAAGCACCGGGCCUGCGCCGGGGGCAUUCAAGAAGGAAGCCAGGCCCGACCGGGGGUGGCGCACGCUUCCCGAACCCCAGGCCCACGGCCCGGUUCCGCGCGGGCAGUUGGCGCCCCCUCGGACAGGGACUGAGAAACGGAAAUACUACCAUCCUCCAGCCAAUCUGUUGGGAGGACUGCUUGCAGAGGACUCGUGCUCCAGAUGUUGCACUAGAGGCGCUGCAAGUGUGAGCAGCAGGUAGAUGAAACUCAAGAGAAAAGGUGUGGAUAAAUGAAACUAGCCCAUGAUGAACCUGUUUUCUCCGUGACCACAAUAUUAACCAGGAUGAAUGGCGGUGGCAGUGGGCCUGCAUCACAGGUUGCAGCAGAUGUUCUCAAUAUUUCUAUUAAAAUUUCCUUAUUUCCAUAUGCAAGAGGAGCCCCAGAGCUGCAUCCUUAUGGUAGCUACCAUGCCGUGAUGUAAGCUGCCAUUCACUGGGGAGCUUUGGCAAUAGAAUUGGCUAGAUCAGGAAGCCUAUGUCAACUAUGGAACAACAACUUGCAGCUCAUCUCUAUUGAUGAUACACUGCCUCUAGGACUGGGACAGAUAGCCACUGAGUACCUGCUUCAAAUCACCCUGCACGUUUUCUCUUUGGAAAGAUAAGCACUGGAGAACCAUCUCGUUACCUUCAGCAGAAAUGGAAACAAAUCAAGACAUUAAGAAUGCCGCAGUGGACAGCAGUUAUGCAAGGUUCAGCAGAGGAAGUUUUCAAGAUGGUGUGCCUCACUAGCCAGAAAUCAGAAAAGAUCGAAGCUAGCCUUUUCAUCUCAGCUGCUCCUUAAAUCAGUGCAACCCCUCCAAAUUAAUGUGAAUUGAAACUUGCAUUGCUUUUCAACUUAAUUGAAUACUUACUAUAUGUGAACCACUGCACAAAAUAGGGGAAGAAGAUGUGGGAGACAAAGAUGUGGAGCCUGUCUUCAAUAAAUUUACAGUUAGUUUCAGGGUACAUUGUUUUUCUUCUGCUGUUAAUUAGGUGUAUCCCCAAGACAAUAAAUACAUGAAUGGAAAAGUAUAUUCUGUGUUUUAAGUCUCUUUAAUAAAAAACAAAACAAAAUCCAAAAAAACUCCUAACAUGGCAACUCAGGACAUUUUAAUCCUUUUUUUUGUUGUUGGGCUUCUGAUAGGAUCCAUUUUAUUGAUUCCAUAAAUAUUUAGUAGACUUUAGACAUAUUAAUACAUUGUAGUUUGAGUUAAUUUGCAUUAAAUUCUGUUUUUUUCCCCUUAGGUAUAGAUUGUCUGUUGGAAAAAUAUAUUGCUUGUGGAUUUCUUGGGGAGUGGGAAGGUGAAUUAUACCUGUUGUCUCUACAGUCCACUACCUUCCACACCCUAGGGCAGUGGUCCCCAACCUUCUUGGCACCAGGGAUCAGUUUCCUGGAAGACAAUUUUUCUGUGGAUGGUGUGGGGAUGGUUUUGGGAUGGAACUGUUCCACCUCAGAUCAUCAGGCAUUAGUUAGGCUCUCAUAACGAGUGCGCAGCCUAGAUCCCUCACAUGCACAGUUCACAGUAGGGUUUGCGCUGCUAUGAGAAUCUAAGGCUGCCACUGAUCUGACAGGAGGCAGAACUCAGGUGGCAAUGCUUACUGGCCCACUGCUCACCUCUUGCUGUGCGGCCUGGUUCCUAAUAGGCCAUGGACCCCCACAGACGGGUACUAGUCUGCAGCCUGUGGACCCCAGCCCUAGGGGCCUGCCAUUCUGAGUGAGUUAUUAGCAUGAAGAAGAGGAAGAUCUGGAUCAAACGUGGGUGAUGGUACUCAGAGACCCAAGAUAGGAUAGGGAUGGAACAAAAUCCAUCUGGGCAACGGCUCUAUGAAAAUUUGGCUAAGUAAUUAUUUCAGUAUUCAUUGUAUUCAUUGUCCUUCGUGUUCCAUAAGUUAAAUGACUGUCUAAUUUUUCCAAAAAUUUAUUUCUGACUUGAGAAUAAGUGUGUCAUGAUUUUCCCAGUGUAAAGACACUGAUAUAACUGUAGAUACCAGACAUUUUAUGUAGUGUCUAUGACACAUUUUAGUAUGUAUGAGCCAACAAUAGACAUGUCUUUGUCUUGAGGAGUGUCCAUCUGAAUUGAAAAUGUGUCAGCUUUUUUUUAACAUCAUCAACAGACUUCUUAAUUAAGCUGCCAAUACAUACUGCC
rnacentral:lncRNA from 1 species